rnacentral:rRNA from 1 species
GACGAACGCUGGCGGCGCGCUUAACACAUGCAAGUCGAGCGAGAACCAGUCCUUGGACGUGGGACGAGCGGCGAACGGGUGAGUAACACGUGAGUAAUCCACCCUCGGUUCCGGAAUAGCCCGGGGAAACCCGGAUUAAUGCCGGAUGGCCCAUUUUCCUUUCGAGGAAACUGGAAAAGGUAGCUUCGGCCUCCGACCGAGGACGAGCUCGCGGCGGAUUAGCUUGUUGGUGGGGUAACGGCCCACCAAGGCGACGACCGUAGCUGGUCUGAGAGGACGAUCAGCCACACUGGGACUGAGACACGGCCCAGACUCCUACGGGAGGCAGCAGUGGGGAAUCUUGUGCAAUGGGCGAAAGCCUGACACAGCGACGCCGCGUGA